GCGCCCGUAGCUCAGCUGGAUAGAGCAUCUGAUUGCGGUUCAGAAGGUCAUGAGUUCGAAUCUCUUCGGGCGCACCA
rnacentral:tRNA from 1 species